rnacentral:rRNA from 1 species
GACGAACGCUGGCGGCGUGCUUAACACAUGCAAGUCGAACGGAAAGGCCCUGCUUGCAGGGUACUCGAGUGGCGAACGGGUGAGUAACACGUGGGUGAUCUGCCCUGCACUUCGGGAUAAGCCUGGGAAACUGGGUCUAAUACCGGAUAGGAGCCAUUUUUCGUGUGAUGGUUGGAAAGUUUUUUCGGUGUAGGAUGAGCUCGCGGCCUAUCAGCUUGUUGGUGGGGUAAUGGCCUACCAAGGCGGCGACGGGUAGCCGGCCUGAGAGGGUGGACGGCCACAUUGGGACUGAGAUACGGCCCAGACUCCUACGGGAGGCAGCAGUGGGGAAUAUUGCACAAUGGGCGCAAGCCUGAUGCAGCGACGCCGCGUGGGGGAUGACGGCCUUCGGGUUGUAAGCUCCUUUCGCUAGGGACGAAGCUUUUUGUGACGGUACCUAGAUAAGAAGCACCGGCUAACUACGUG